UGGUUAGCUACUGUUCGAACUAAAAUGGCUAAUGAGCUAGCUAACUUUGACACAUAGCUAGUUAUUUGGUAGCUAAUGGGACAAUGUGCCUCUAAACUUGAACUAGCCUACACCCAUUUGCUGCAGAAAAUGGCAGCUUAACGUUAUAUUCAACCAGCACAACUUUGUCUACUUCAGCCUUUGUAAUUGCAGUGUAACGUCUAAGUAAUGCAUAGUGCAUUGCGUAGCUAGUACUACUGAGAUAAAUGGAUAGUUAGCUAACGCUUAGUUGAACCAGCACUAAAUGAUGAUUUUGAAUAUAUAUUUUCUUUGUUAACAGAGGCAAAAUGCUGUUGCGUGUUCAGCUCGGGGAAGAGCAGAAAUACGUCAAGCUGUCUGAGCUGACAUUCAAUGCUUUCUUGAAAGAAGUGUGUCUAAAAUUCAACAUACCAGAAAGCAGAAAGCCAGACAUUAAGGUGUAUGACCAGUCUGACACAGAAGUUGACUCAGAUGUUUUUGAAGAAUUAGUAAAGGAGUCACCUGGAACUUUCAGAAUCAUGCUGGGCAAUGGACUUGAUACCUCUCAUUCAUCAUCAUGCUCGGGUACAUCUGAUGACACCAUCAUUCUGAAUUUCACUGUGUGUGACGAUGUUGAAGAAGUAGCGGCUGGCGAAGGAAG